UGUGUGCAUAUAUGUGUGUGUACACGUAUAUGUGUGUAUAUAUGUUUAUGCAUACAUAUGUGUGUGCACACAUGUAUUAUGAAUGUG